CCUACGGGUGGCAGCAGUGGGGAAUAUUGGACAAUGGGCGAAAGCCUGAUCCAGCCAUGCCGCGUGUGUGAAGAAGACCUUCGGGUUGUAAAGCACUUUCAGUGGGGAAGAAAGCCUUGGGGCUAAUACCCUCGAGGAAGGACAUCACCCACAGAAGAAGCACCGGCUACCUCCGUGCCAGCAGCCGCGGUAAUACGGAGGGUGCGAGCGUUAAUCGGAAUUACUGGGCGUAAAGCGCGCGUAGGCGGUCUGAUAAGCCGGUUGUGAAAGCCCCGGGCUCAACCUGGGAACGGCAUCCGGAACUGUCAGGCUAGAGUGCAGGAGAGGAAGGUAGAAUUCCCGGUGUAGCGGUGAAAUGCGUAGAGAUCGGGAGGAAUACCAGUGGCGAAGGCGGCCUUCUGGACUGACACUGACGCUGAGGUGCGAAAGCGUGGGUAGCAAACAGGAUUAGAUACCCUGGUAGUC
rnacentral:rRNA from 1 species